rnacentral:lncRNA from 1 species
AUUGAAAAUAUCUUCCCUGAAAACAUCGAAAAAGUUUGUGAUCGGAAAAAUUUUCCAGCCUUGGACAUAUUUAUAUGCACGGCGGAUCCUUAUAAAGAGCCGCCCAUGACGGUGGCAAACACGGCUCUAUCGGUGAUGGCAUAUGAUUAUCCGGCAGAAAAGUUGUCGGCUUAUGUAUCGGAUGAUGGAGGAUCCGAGUUCACUCUCUUCGCUUUGAUGGAGGCUGCUAAAUUUGGAAACUAUUGGCUACCUUUCUGUCGGGAGAAUAAGGUUAUGAACCGGUGCCCCGAAGCUUAUUUCAGAUCGAAUUCUUGUUCAAACUCUGAAAUUAAGGUAAUGUUUACAGCUUUGUCUUGGUAAUUUUUGUUGGCCAAAUACUUAGUUAAAACUUAAAUCUAGAUUACACUGCAGACGAUGUAUGAGAGUAUGAAAAGGAGAGUAGAAAGUGUAGUCGAGAAAGGGAAAAUUAUUGACGAGUACAAAACCAGUGAGGAAGAAGCUGAAGCUUUUGGCAAAUGGAACCAGGGAUUUACUCGUCAGGAUCAUCCCACUGUAAUCCAGGUAAAAAUACAUUCUUUUAUCGUUUUUUACCAAUUAUUUAUCACAUGUGAAUAUUGAUACAAAAGCAUUAACCAUUGUAUCAAUUGUUAAGUCAAUCCUAAUUAUUGCCACUGCGCGGAGCUGGUCGUGGAUUGACCUCCGCAGUGAAGUCGUCGUGGGGGUUGGCCUGCCCCCCUCCCGAGGGUCACACCAAAAUCCAAUCUAAAGAUUGUUUAGAAAUUUAUAUUCUUGUAAAAUUCCAUCAAGGAAUUAGAGUCGUUGUAUAAUUCAAUUUUUCCCCAAUUUAUCUUAUAAAUAGGGAGCCUUCCUUAAGCAAUAUGAUUAUCAUCAAAAAAGAGAGACUAGAGAAGAUAGGAGUGCGAUUUAUUCUCGUAAAUAAUUUUUCGUCAUAAUGAAUUACUACAGUUAUGGGAGAGGAAGUUGUCUCAUAUUGAAUUGAACCUCUAUAAUUUAUGCGUGUUCAUUUUUCUUUCUUCCUCUUGAUUGCUCUCGGUGGAAUAGAAUUAAGAUUUAUAAUUCUCAACAUCAAUUCCUUGUGCUCAAAUGUGAUAUGUUGAAUCAUGACAGUUUUCAACUUUACAUUUUAUCAAAUAAUUCGUCCAGUAUCUUGAGUUUUUUUGUGGCUCAGAUUUAUGUCGAUUACAAUUAUCUUUCUUCAGCUACAAUUAUAUUGAGUAGAUAAACAGAUAUGUGUUUCCUAAAAGAUACUAUUUGGACAGGUAGUGUCACAAGCUGGGAAUGACACGGAUAUUAGAGGCCAUUCUAUACCAAAUCUCGUCUAUGUGUCUAGAGAGAAAUGCAGGACGUCCGAGCACCAUUAUAAGGGAGGAGCCCUGAAUGCACUGGUAAUAUAUUGACAAGUUGCUUAUAACCUAAUCAGUUGACAAUCUCAAACAUCAUUUUUGUUUGUCUUAUACAAUUGUCCGUGUUUGUGUCUGUUCUAAAGCUUCGAGUUUCGGCAGUCAUGACAAAUGCACCAAUAAUUCUGACCCUAGAUUGUGACAUGAUAUCCAAUGAUCCAUCAACGCCUCAUCAAAUGCUGUGUCACUUCUUGGACAGUUCUCCGAAAUUUGGUUUCGUUCAGUUCCCUCAACGUUUCAAUGGGCUUAACAAGGCCGAUAUCUAUGCGUCCGAGUUUAGGCGUAUGUUUUAUAUAAACCCAGUGGGCAUGAAUGGUUUAUCGGGCCCGGAUUACUUUGGGACUGGUACAUUUUUUCGUCGACGCAUUUUCUAUGGUGCUCCAUCAUCAUUUAUCGAACCAGAAAUUGUGGAAUUGAACCCAGAUAACUUUGUUGAGAGGAGUAUAAAAAAUCAGUCAAUUUUAGAGCUAGCUCACCAUGUAGCAGGUUGCAAUUAUGAGAACCAGACCAAUUGGGGUUCCAAGGUAAGCCUUUAUUACACUAAAUAUGACAUUUUCUGGUCUUCAUGUAUGUACAGCAUUAUCAAUUAUUGAAACAAUAAGUUCUUCUGUAUUUUACAGAUUGGGUUUAGAUAUGGCUCGUUAGUCGAGGACUAUUAUACCGGUUAUCGGCUUCAUUGCGAGGGAUGGAAGUCAGUAUAUUGUAAUCCGGAAAGAGCAUCUUUUUUGUGCGAAAUGCCAAUAUCCCUUAAUGAUUCGCUGAACCAGACCAAGAGAUGGGCCUUAGGCCUCCUGGAGGUGUCUUUGUCCAAGCAUAGUCCUUUAGUCUUUGGUGUUCGGUUUCUUGGACCUUUAAAGGCUCAUUGUUAUGCAUACUAUGCCUUUGGCCCCCUUUUGUCAUUCCCUGUCGCAGUGUAUGCCUGCGUGCCUCAAAUAGCUCUGCUCAACGACUUCUUUGUCUUCCCAAAGGUACGUAACAAGUAAAACAAUAAAAGGAACUUUUUAAAGUAGAAGUCACAUGACAGGCAAAGUGAAUAAUGGCCACGUUUUACCUUUGCCGUUUAAAACUAAUUUAUCGUCAUUGGUCAGAAUACCAGGACAAUUUAUUGUGAUCGACGUGCUCGGUUCACUGAACGUACUUCAUUGAAUUCAGUGUACUUGAUGUGGUCAUUUCUGAGUUCAUUGAGUUCAUAUUAACUUAUGGAAUCCUUUUCUUUUACCAUUAUUGACCUCUCUCCUAUAAAAGAUGAUGCCACAAACCCACUCUUGAUUCUUUCGUUGGUAGCAAAACUGGGAAGUCAAAAGUACCGUAUGGAAGUUAAAACCAAUGGCCAUCUCCCCCACCCCCAAAACCGUCCGUCCAUUCUGAUUUCUAUCUUCUGAACACAUCUUACAGGUAUGGGAUCCCUGGUUUUUCUUGUACAUAUUCCUAUUUCUUGGGGCCUAUGUACAAGAUUGCCUGGAGUUUGUUUUAGCCCGAGGGACAAUCCUACGGUGGUGGAGUGAUCAAAGAAUGUGGCUCAUAAGGUCACUUUCAUCUGAUUUAUUUGGAUCGUUAGAGUACAUUACCCAUCAUUUGGGAAUUGCCACAAGAGGCUUUGAAGUAACUAGCAAAGUAGUUGACAACGAACAAAACAAAAGGUAUUAUGAAGGGAAAUUUGAAUUUGGGGUUCCCUCACCCAUUUUCGUGCCAUUUUCGACUGGUGCAGUUUUGAAUUUAGCGGCGUUGAUUAUGGGAUUUCUGAAAAUCCUAAGGGGAGAAAAUUUGGACUGCUUGAUUUUUCAGAUGCUUAUUGCAAGUUUUGGCGUAGUGAAUUGCUGGCCAAUUUAUGAAGCCAUGGUUUUAAGAAGUGAUAAUGGAAGAAUGCCUAUCAAGAUUACUUUCAUUUCAGUUUCCUUUGCAUGGGUUGUGUAUGCAGCAGUUUCUUUUAUACUAAAGCUGCAAAAGAUAUAGAAUUGGAUUUUCGUAGUUGAACAAAUGAAUAAAUCUCAUAGCUUUCCAUCUUUGUUUAAAUUCUUAUUUUGUGUUUGCUGAUAUUUCAAUCGUAUCACAUUAAUCAUCAUUUGUUAUGAGAAUAGGUCGAGGUCAUUUAAUAUCAGUCGUGCAUUCUGCUCUACCCAGAGACGGAUUUGGGUGCCCCCCCCCGCCCCCACCAACUCAGGCCCAAGAACAUUUUUUUAAGGUAUUUUUUAUUUUUCUUGGUAAAAAAUCAGUUUUUUAUGUGCAAAUUUUUCUUUUUCCCAGUAGUAGCCCGAUUUGAAAUUUUGUAGCUCAGUCUUGGAUCCGUAACUACUGAUACCAUUUGCAUUCCGGCAUCCACGGUGCCCAUGGCAGCAAGCUCGUCAGAAGCAAAUGCAUAGGACUUCAAAUAGAAUAUCACGACAAUACCUCUAUAUGAUUAUUAAUAUUCAAAAUUCAUGAGAGGCAGAGUUAGAAAAUAUAUAUCAAAAUAAGAGAAGAAUCAAAUGCAAUAAAUGGAGAAGAUGGAGAUCAAAUAAGAUCACAAAAAAGGAAAGAAUAAACUCAGAAUUAGAGACUUGAACACGUAGAAAGUGCUGUACAAAACGAUAUUUGCCCCCUUUCAUCCUUGAGAUUGCUUGUUGGAUACACCAACAAAUAGCUCCGAGUAUUAAUCGAGCCUUGAAAGUUAAUCACCAAGCAAUAAUGAAGAACCUUAAGACCAAAGAGUUAAUGUUAUGUUUUUCAUCCAACAAUCACCAAUAUAUAAAGGAGGAGACACCCGUUGAAUCAAUGGAAAAAAUGAACGGUUAAAAGACACAAUUUUCCGCCAAAUAUUGAACUAUCAACUAGCCUAACAGCUAGUUGACCGAGAUUGCGGGUCCCAUACCCGUGACCACGAAGUGUAGGUCUGGUUGCAGCUGUCACGAGCCCAAAACCUGUGGCCUCAGGUCUUGCCUUCCAAAAGACAAGUCCGCCUUUAUCCUUGAAAUUUAUUCUACCAUGUUUUUAUUCAUUAUUUCACGUCUUUCUCACUUUAGAAAGCAUUCGAAACAGCCUUGUGUUUCUGUUAUAUUCGAAAGAAUUACAAGAAUCCUCCACUCAUGGGCGGACCCAAGGGGGUCAGGAGGGGUCACUUGACCCCCAACUUUUGAGAUUUUUUAUUUUUAUUUUUGAUAAAGUUAUGUUUGGUAUUGAUUAAAAUUUUAAUUUUAAUCUAAAUCAAAGUUAAUAAUUAAUUUUAAUAAUAUAUUUCCUAAAUUCCUUAACUUCUAAAAUUUUAUCAAAAUUUACUAAAAAUCAGACUUUAAUUCCCAUCAAACAGAGAUAAAAUCACAAUAAAUUUGAAUUUUAUCUCCUUUUUAUUGCUCUAUCGUAUUCUCUCCCUCAAAUCUUUUACCAAAAUCUUAACUCUUCUAAUUUUUUAAAAUCUGUUUAUAAUUUCUCUACAAUUAUCACAUCUACAGUCUACUCCAAAAUUUCACUUUUCAAUCAAAUUUUCAAUUAACUAGAACUUCAAUUUGAUUUUCUCCUAUCCUAUUUGUGUAUAUAGCACGUGUCUAAACUGAUUAUAUAAAAUUUAACUUAUAUCUAGCGAAUUGUGUUUAUUUAACUGAUUAUUAGUAUUGAAUAUUGAUUAUUUUUUUUCUUUCGAUUACUUGAAUUGAUUGUUUGUAUCAAAUCCACAAUUUUUUAAAACAUAAAUAUGCAUUUUCUUGUAAUAAGCAAAAUAUUAAAAAAAUUAUUAUUCAAAAUCAAAUAGAUGAAAAUGAUUUGCAAAAUAUUAAUGAAUAAAUAUUUUUAAAAUGUAAAUCUACAUUUUUUCGGGUCAAAUAUGAAUCAUUCAAAAAUAAAAAUAAAGUAUUCAAUUUGUACAAAGUAAAGAUUGUGCCCCCUAACUCAAUUUCUCUGCGUCCACCCCUGCCUCCACUUGUUCAAAUUAGAACAAGUUUAGAUUGAUGAUAAAAUGAUAUUUAUGGUAUUACUUUAGUGUCAGUUUCGCAAAGUGAUAUCAAAACUUCAGGUAGCAUGAAACCUUUUAACUAGUCAUUCAUUUUGACAACAUUGGUGACACUAAUACUCAAAUACAAGUGUUCUUUGGUUCGACAACUUGCUUAUCGCUGUUAUAACUUGCACUUAUCUGUUUAAUGAUUUUUUUACAAAUGAAACUCCAACUUUCUAUUGAGAAAGUACAAUUUCGAAGUGAACAUAGGUGAAGUUCUUAUACUCUAUCCCCUUUUUUCUGUGUAUCACUUAUUGGUAACGCUAAUUAAUCCACACGAGUAUUCGAACUAAAGAAUUUUUUUUUUUUUAAAUUUUAAAAAUUUCAAUUUUUUCUAUUUCUUUUUUUUAAUAUUUAAUAAAGAAAUUAAAAUUCAUACAAUCAUGCAAAAUAAAUAAUAAAAACUCAAUUUUUUUGCCACCUCUAAACUUGAACAUGACAUUGCCGUCAAUAUCUCAAACUGUUAUCAAGUAAGGAAAAUCAAAAGAAUAAAUAAUGGAAUACAAUCGCCAAAUAUGUCUAAAAGUGGAGGCUAAUUUAAAAAAAUAAAAAAAAUUGCAACGGAUGGUCCACUUGGAUACAUCCUUUCCUUGUCCAUCAUUGGUUUGUGUGUUUUAAUUUGUCAUAUUUCUACAAAAUGAAGAGAAAUUGAUCAUUGAUAAUAUGGAACAAUUUAUAUUAAGCUUAAACACAUCACAGUCUAUAGGGUAAUAUGGGGAUGAAGAUACAUAAGCUAGUAAAAGCAGUAAAAUUUAUGAAUCCUAUUAUCUAGAAAGCAUAAUAAAUAAAAGGAAAUAAAAUUAAGCUACCUCCCAAUAAGCGCUUGUUUAUAGUUAUUAGCUUGAUUCUAUUGUUUUGGUUAUCUAUGGUGGCUUAAAAAGGAGAUUUUUAGCUUUGCAAUGACUGCAUUGACGGAUGUUUCUUUAUUCAUUAUUGGGGCCCCAAAUUUCAAAACUUUCAUGUUGAUCUUUAAUCACUCCAAUAAAUCCACCAACUCUUUGUUUUAUAGUGAGGAGUUCUAUAAUCAUUCUUUUUUUUCAUGGUCAGUCAUUUUACACUUCUCUAGGUAGACAUGUUGCUUAGUGGAGUAUUCAUGUAAAAUUUGUUGUUUCUAUUACACCCUGAAGAUUAUAUCACCAUUUUCAAAAUCCAUUAAUACAAGUCAAGUUGCCAAGAAAGGUCUUCUUACGAUCAUUAGCAUGCCUUGAUUUUCUUCUACAUCAAGGAUAAUGAAUCAGUUGGAAAGAUAAAAUCUCCAUCUUUGAUGAGCAUAUCCUCAACCACUUCACAAAUGCGUUUGAUUGACCUGUCAACCAGCUGUACAGUUAUUGAGGUUUCCUUUAGCUCCUUCAAAUCUGAUUUCCUGUAGAUAUACAAGGUCGUCAAAUUAAUACUUUUUCUAGAAUCAAUUAACGCAUUUAUAUUAUGCGAAUUCCCUAAAGAGCAAGGUAAAAUUAAGUGUUCUUGCUUCCCUGCAUGGUGGAUAAUUCAUUCAUGUAGAGAGUUAUCCCAUGUUGAUUAGCUUCGUCCAUGGGAGGCAUAUGAAAUGGCUUUGAAGAAUUUGGAGGGGAUUUCCCAUUUGGAAUUUGCCUUUUCUUUGAAUCUCUCUUGCUUCCCUGGAAGAUGGAAUAUUCAUCUAUUUAGAGGCUUCUCAUAUGGUGAUUAGCUCCGUUCAUGAGAGGCAUAUGAUGUCCAAUUUGGAGAAUUUGAAGGUCAUUUCCACAUUUGGGUCUCUCUUCUUCUCCGAAGCGCUCAUAUUUCUUUACAUGAUGGAUGGUCUAUCCAUAUAGAUAUUUCUCUUAUGGCGAUCAACUUCGUCAAUGGGAGGCGUAUUUAUGACUUGAAGACAUUUGUAACAAUAUACAUUUCAUUAAAUAGGAAAUAUUUUACAUAAACUGGGAAAUAUCAUCCAGCUAAGUAGUUGAGCUUUGCUCAUUGAUAAUACCUUCUUAGGUGUUCUACAUUCCAUGGGUAAAGUUGCACCUUUACUUUUUAGCGCAAGGUUGUUUAUGUGAAAUUAUCUUUUCAUCACUUUGAGUUGUAGUACCAGGUCACUCUUCACUAAUAGUAGCCAAUUGUAUUUGGGAAUCAUCCCUCCUUUCUUCAAUGAAGUCAAGUUGAAACCUCAUUAGUUCGUCAUUGGAUAUUUCAUUGAAAUAUAGACGGUGAAGUGAUGAGAGAUCUACCUUGACCAAGCUCAUAGCUUCAACUCCAUGAGCACGGAAAAAGAAGUCUCUCCAUUAAUAAUUUGACUUGUGGUGUGAAUAACUUGCAACACCUAAGGGGGCUCAUCAACUCGUGUCUCCUUAGAACAUCGAGUUUCCUUUCAAUGUUUACUUAAUGGUUUUCUUGUUGGUUUCUACUUAGCCAUUUGCUUGAGGGUGUUGAGGUAUAGAAAAGUGUUUCUUGAUCCCAGCUCUUCACUUAGGUCCAUAACCUUUUUGUUGUCAAAUUAUCAUCCAUUGGUUGAUAUGAUCGAGUGGGAAGUGGCAAACUAGCAUACGAUGUUCUUCUAUAAAAAUCUUGAAGUACUAGCUUUUGUAAUUUUGACAAAUAUUUGGCUUCUACCCACUUUAUGAAGUAACCGAUGGCUAUGAUAGCAUAGCUUGCACUACCUUUUUCCUUUGGCAAGCCUAUGAGAUCAAUCUCCUACUUAGCAAAUAGCCAAAGACUAAAAACCACCAUAAGUUCCUGGGAAGGUUGCCUCUGUAUUACACUUUCACCCAAAUUGGAACGCAUCAUUUUUCAAGGUGGGCUAGUAGUAUCUCUGCCUUAACACCUUUUGUUUGAGUGUGAGUACUUCAACAUGAUUUUGUAUACGCCUUGAUGGAUCUCAUGGAGGAUAGAAUUAGAUUUUUCUCAUUUUGAGUAUCAAAUGAGAGGCAAGGAAAAGCCUCUUUUGUACAGUACAUCACCUUGUAAAACAAAGUGUGUAGCUCUUUUUCUAAGCUUCUGGGCUUCAUCCUCGUCAUCAAGUAGGACUUAAUCCUUGAGGAAGGCUAAUAUGUUUUAGAUCCAUGAAGAAAUGUCUUCAAUCCACAUUACAUCUUCCCCAUUUGUAGUAGAGGGUUUGGAGAGAUACUCAGUGGACACCAUCUUUAGUAGUUCGAAGCCAUUACAACUAGCGAAUUUGGAUAGAGUGUCGGCAUGGGCGUUCUUUCUACGUGGGAUUUGUACCAACAUACUUUUUGAAAGAUGGGAGGAGGUCCAUAAUUAGUUUAAGGUAUGGAGCCAUGCCUUUUUCCCUUGUAGUGAAACUACCAUUAACUUGACUAACUGCUACUUGAGAGUCACUACUUAUGAAUAGCCUCAUUACUUGCAUUUCAUUAGCUAAUCUUAAGCCAGCUAAGAGGGCCCCAUAUUCUUCUACAUUUUUGGUAGCUCUAAAUCUGAACCUUUCUAUAUAUAGAUGAGCUUGUGAUCUUCCAGUCUGACCAAGACCACAUAAACGAGCCAUCUACUAAAAGGCUCUAAGUGGGAUCUUAACUAGUUCUAUUGUCUUCUCCAUUUCAGGGACAAUGAAUUCCACUAUAAAGUCUACGAGGGCUUGGCCUUGAUAGAGGUUAUUACCUUGAAGACAAGAACAAAUUCCUUUAGCUCAACAACCCACUUCAUCAAUCUUCCAAGGUAUCGGAUUUUUGGAGCACUUGUUUAACUGAAAAGUUUGUUAGUACAUGUAUGCUAUAGGCUUGAAAGUAAUGCCUCAACUUUUUAAAAGCUUUGACAAGGAAAAGUGCGAUCUUCUCCAUAUCGGGGUAGAAGACUUGUGCUUGUAGGAGGGCUUUGCUGCCAUAGUAAAUGGGCAAUUGGUGGUUGCCUUAUUCUCUCAUGAGAACUGAGUUGAUGACCUCUUCAGAUAUGGCCAAGUAGAGUUGUAAAGACUCAUCAACCUUUGGUUUUGAAAGAAUGGUGUCCUGUUCUAUGAGCUUCUUCAACUCUUGAAAAGCGUUUGCACAUUUCUCUAUCCAUUAGAACUUAUUUAGAAAUGGAGGCAUUUGUCGAUGGCUUUUAAGACAAAAUGACUUAAGGCUACCAUGCACUUGGUAAGGCUCUACACCUCUUUAGGUUUUUAGGGAACCUCAUUUCUACCAAGGCCUUGAUCUUCUAGGGAUUGGUCCCUAUACCUCUUUAGUUGACCAUAUAACAUGGGAACCUUUUGAAAGCGGCACAAAAUGCAUACGUAAGGGAGUUUAAACACAUUCUGUACCUCCUUAAUAUUCAAAAAGUAGCAUCCAAUGCUACACAUGGUCCUUAGUCUUCAAAUGUUUUACUAACGUGUUAUCUACGUAGACUUUCAUAAUUUUACCAAUAAGACUGGCAAAAAAUUGUUGACAAGUCUUUGGUAAGUAAACCUGACAUUUUUCAAUUCGAAUGACAUUACCUUAUAGUAGUAGAAAUCUCUAUCAGUGAUGAAUGAGGUGUUUCCUUAAUUCAUAAGAUGCAUGGAAAUUUGAUUGUAACUUUAGUAGGCAUCCAUGAAGCUUACAACUCAUGCCCUUAGUGAAGUCCACGAAUUGAUCUAUCUUUGGGAGGAGGAAGCUAUCCUUCAGGUAAAUUUGAUUGAGGUUGGAAAAAUCUAUAUAGACUCUCCACUUGCCACUGUGCUUCUUUACUAAAAUUGAGCUGGAGAUCCACUUUAGGUAAGUGGCCUCUCUAAUGAAGACACCCGUUGAAUCAAUGGAGAAAAUGAACGGUUAAAAGACACAAAUUUCCACCAAAUAUUGAACUAUCAACUAGCCUAACAGCUUGUCGACCGAGGCUGCAGGUCCAAUUCCUGUGACCGCGAAGUGUAGGUCUGUUUGCAGCUGUCACGAGCCUGAAACCUAUGGCCUCAGGUCUUGCCUUCCAAAUGCCAAAGUCCGCCUUUAUCCUUAAAAUUUAUUCUACCAUGUUUUCAUUCAUUAUUUCACGUCUUUCUUACUUUAGAAAGCAUUCAAAACAUCCUUGUGUUACUGUUAUAUUCAAAAGAAUUACAAGAAUCAUCCACUUAUUCAAAUUGGAACAAGUUUAGAUUGAUGAUAAAAUGAUGUUUAUGGUAAUUACUUUAGUGUAAGUUUCACAAAGUGAUAUCAAAACUCCAGGUAGCAUGGAAGCUUUUAACCAGUCAUUCAUUUUGACAACAUUGGUGACACUAAUACUUAAAUACAUGUGUUCUUUGGUUCGACAACUUGCUUAUCGCUAUUAUAACUUGCACUUAUUUGUUUAAUGAUUUUUUUACAAAUGAAAAGCCAACUUUCUAUUGAGAAAGUACCACUUCAAAGUGAAUAAAGGUGAAGUUCUUAUACUCUAUCCCCUUUUUUUGUGUGUAUCACUUACUGAUAAAGCUAAUUAAUCCACACAAGUAAUCAAACUAAAAAGAAAUUUUUUUUUUUGAAAUUUUAAAAAUUUCAAUAAUUUUUUCUAUUUCUUUUUUUAAUAUUUAAUAAAGAAAUUAAAAUUCAUACAAUCACGCAAAAUAAAUAAUAAAAACUCAAUUUUUUUGUCACUCCUAAACUUGAACCUGACAUUGCCUUCAAUGUCUCAAACUGUUAUCAAGUAAGCAAAAUAAAAGAAUAAAUAAUGGAAUAUGAGACUUGCCAAAUAUGUCAAAACGUGAAGGCUAAUUUUAAAAAAAAAAAAAAUUGCAAUGGAUGAUCCACUACAUCCUUUCCUUGUCCAUCAUUGGUUUGUGUGUUUUAAUUUGUCAUAUUUCUACAAAAUGAAGAGAAAUUGAUCAUUGAUAAUAUGGAACAAUUUAUAUUAAGUUAAACACUAGGGUAAUAUGGGGAUGAAGAUACAUAAACUAGUAAAAGCAAUAAAAGUUAUGAAUCCUAUUAUCUAGAAAGCAUAAUAAAUAAAAGGAAAUAAAAUUAAAUUGCCUCCCAAUAAGCGCUUGUUUAUAGUUAUUAGCUUGACUCUAUUGUUUUGGUUAUUUAUGGUGGUUUAAAAAGGAAACUUUUAGCUUUGCAACGACUGCACUGACGAAUGUUUCUGUAUUCAUUAUUGAGCCCCCCAAAUUUCAAAACUUUCAUAUUGAUCUUUAAUCACUCCAAUAAAUCCGCCAACUCUUUGUUUUAUAGUAAGGACUUCUAUAAUCAUUCUUUUUUUCAUGGUCAGUCAUUUUACACUUUUCUAGGUAGACAUGUUGCUUAGUGGAGUAUUCAUGUAAAGUUUUGUUGUCUAUAUUACACCCUCAAGAUUAUCUCACCAUUUUCAAAAUCCAUUAAUAUAAGUCAGGUUGCCAAGAAAGGUCUUCCUAAGAUUAUUAGAAUGCCUUGAUUUUCUUCUACAUCAAGGAUAAUGAAAUCAGUCGGAAAGAUAAAAUCUCCAUCUUUGAUGAGCAUAUCCUCAACAACUUCACAAAUGCGUUUGAUUGACCUGUCAACCAGCUGUAGAGUUAUUGAAGUUUUGGGAUUUGCCUUUUCUCCGAAUCGCUCAUGCUUCCCUGGAAGAUGGAAUGUUUAUCUAUUUAGAGGCUUCUCCUAUUGUAAUUAGCUUCGUCCAUGAGAGGCAUAUGAUGUCCACUUUGGAGAUUUGGAAGAUGAUUUCCCAUUUGGGAUUCUCCUCUUCUCCAAAGCACUCAUAUUUCUUUACAUGAUGGAUAGUUUAUCCAUAUAGAUAUUUAUCUUAUGGCGAUCAACUUUGUCCAUGGGAGGCAUAUUUAUGACGUGAAGACAUUCAUAACAAAAUACAUUUCAUUAAAUAGGAAAUAUUUUACAUAGGCUGGGAAAUAUCAUCGACUAAGCAAUUGAGCUUUGCUUAUUGAUAAUACCUUCUUAGGUGUUUUACAUUCCAUGGGUGAAGUUGCACCUUUACUUUUUAGCGCAAGGUUGUUUAUGUGAAAUUAUCUUUUCAUUACUAGGCAAGGAAAAAGAAGUCUCUCCAUUAACAAUUUGACUUGUGGUGUGAAUAACUUGCAACACCUAAGGGAGCUCAUCAACUCAUGUCUCCUUAGUACAUCAAGUUUCCUUUGCAAUGUGUACUUAAUAGUUUUGUUGUUGGUUUCUACUUAGCCAUUUGCCUGAGGGUGCUGAGGUAUAGAAAGGUGUUUCUUGAUCCCAGCUCUUCACUUAGGUCCAUAACCUUUUUGUUGUCAAAUUAUUGUCCAUUGGCUAAUAUGAUCGAGUGGGAAGUGGAAAACUGGUGUACGAUGUUCUUCCAUAAAAAUCUUGAAGUAUUAGCUUCUGUAAUUUUGAUAAACAUUUGGCUUCUACCCACUUUAUGAAGUAAUUGAUGGCUACGAUAGCAUAGCUUGCGCUACCUCCUUCCUUUGGCAGGCCUAUGAGAUCAAUCUCAUACUUAGCAAACGGCCAAAGACUGGAAACCACCAUAAGUUCUUGUGAAGGUUGCCUUUGUAUUACACUUUCAUCCAAAUUGAAACGCAUCAUUUUUCAAGGUGAGCCAGUAGUAUCUUUGCCUUAGUACCUUUUGUUUGGGUGUGAGUACUUCAGCAUGAUUUCGUAUAUGCCUUCAUGGAUCUCAUGGAGGAUGGAAUUGGCUUUUUCUCAUUUUAAGUAUCAAAUGAGAGGCAAGGAGAAGCCUUUUUUGUACAAUACAUCACCUUGUAAAAUAAAGUAUGUAGCUCUUUUCCUAAGCUUCUGGGCUUCAUCCUUGUCAUCAAGUAGGACCUAGUCCUUGAGGAAGGAUAAUAUGGGUUAGAUCCAUGAAGAAAUGCCUUCAAUCCACAUUACUUCUUCCCCAUUUGUAGUAGAGGGUCUGGAGAGAUACUCAAUGGAUACCAUCUUUAGUAGUUCAAAGUCAUUACAACUAGCAAAUUUGGAUAGAGUGUCGACAUGGGAUUUGUACCAACAAACUUUUUGAAAGAUGGGAGGAGGUCCAUAAUUAGUUUAAGGUAUGGAACCAUGCCUUUGUCGCUACUUAUGAAUAGCCUCAUUACUUGAUUUAAUUAGCUAAUCUUAAGCUAGGUAAGAAGGCCUCGUAUUCUACUACAUUGUUUCUAGCUCUAAAUCUGAACCUUUCUAUAUAUAGUUGAGCUUGUGAUCUUCUAGUCUAACCAAGACGACACUGGUCCUAAAGCCUAUCUCUCUAAAUGAGCCAACUAUGAAGAGGCAUUAAGUAGGGUCUUAACUAGUUCCAUUGUCUUCUCCAUUUCAGGGAUAAUGAAUUCUACUAUAAAGUCUGUGAGGGCUUGGCCUUGAUAGAGGUCCUUGCCUUGAAGACAAAAACAAACUCCUUUAGCUCAACAACCCACUUCAUGAAUCUUCCAAGGUAUCAAAUUUUUGGAGCACUUAGUGAAAAGUUUGUUAGCACAUGCAUGCUAUAGGACUGGAAGUAGUGCCUCAACUUUUUAGAAGCUUUAACAAAGGAAAGUGCGAUCUUCUCCAUAUCGGGAUAGUAGACUUGUGCUUAUAUGAGGGCUUUGCUGCCGUAAUAAAUGGGCAAUUGGUGGUUGCCUUCUUUCUCUCAUGAGAACUGAGUUGAUGACCUCUUCAUGUAUGGCCAAGUAGAGUUGCAAAGACUUAUCAACCUUUCGUUUUGAAAGAACGGUGUCAUGUUCUAUAAGCUUCUUCAACUCUUGGAAAGCCUCUACACACUUCUUGAUCCAUUAGAACUUAUUUCCUCUCUUAAAAACUUUAAAGAAAUGGAGGCAUUUGUCGAUGGUUUUUAAGACAAAAUGACUUAAGGCUGCCACGCGCUUGGUGAGGCUCUAUACCUCUUUAGGUUUUUAGGAAACCUCAUUUCUACCAAGGUCUUGAUCUUCUAGGAAUUGGUCCCUAUACCUCUUUAGUUGACCAUAUAACCUAGGAACCUUUUGAAAGUGGCACAAAAUGUGUACGUAAGGGAGUUUAAACACAUUCUGUACCUCUUUAAUAUUCAAAAAGUAGCAUCCAAUGCUACACAUGGUCCUUAAUCUUCAAACGUUUUACUAGCGCGUUAUCUACAUAGACCUUUAUGAUUUUGCCAAUAAGACUGGCAAACAAUUGUUGACAAGUCUUUGGUAAGUAAACCUGACAUUUUUCAAUUCAAAUAGUAUCACCUUGUAGCAAUAGAAACCUCUAUCAGUGAUGAGUGAGGUGUUUCCUUAAUCCGUAGGGUGCAUGGAAAUUUGGUUGUAACUUGAGUAGGCAUCCAUGAAGCUCAACAACUCGUGCCCAUGGUGAAGUCCACGAGUUGAUCUAUCUUUGGGAGGAGGAAGCUAUCCUUUGGACAAAUUUGGUUGAGGUUGGAAAAAUCUAUAUAGACUCUCAACUUGCCACUGUGCUUCUUUACUAGAAUCGAGCUAGAGAUCCACUUUAGGUAAGUGGCCUCUUUGACGAAGCCAUUACAUAUUAGCUUCUUCAUCCCCUCAUUUAGAGCUUUCUGCCUUUCUGGGUUGAGGGCCCUUAUUUUUUCUAUACAAAGCAACCUUAGGAUCAAAUUUUAGGUGGUGGCAACUAAUCUUUAGAUCAAUACUCACAAUGGCCUCGUAUCUCCAAACAAAGACAUCCAAAUUCUUGUGUAGAAAGCUUUUAAGCUUCUUUUUGGCCUUGGGUGGUAGAUCAUUUCCCAUUUGUAAUUCUUUAGUUGAGUUUUAAGAAUCCACGAGAAAACUCUCCAGUUAGUUUAUUGCAAAUGUUUUUUAGUUGAAUGCGAGGGUCCAACUCAUCAAUGAUGGCAUCUUCUUCAGAGGGUUUGCCUUCAAGGACAUCUUUUCUUCAAGGAGCAUCUCUUCUUCAGGUGCAUUAAUCAUUUCAAUGCUUUCCUUUGUUAAGAGGAUUGUCUUUCUUUAAGUGUGUAAAUCAUUUUGGCAUCAAACAACACCAUGUUGAUGUCUUGUGGUUUUGCCUUCCUAAGGGGGUUCAAAUAGCAUCGUUGUCCCCAUCUGAUCACCUUAAUUGUGGUGAUACCAUGUUCUAUUGAGAAUUUCAUCCACAAUUGAUGGAUGGAGAUGAUGGCCCAUAACUUUUUCAGAGUGGGUCUUUCUAACACUUCAUGUUAGGCAGAUUUGUUAUCCAUGAAAUGAUCUAUUGUUUGAGGUAGCAUGCCCAUUUCUACUACGAGGUAAUAAUCUACCUUGAAGCUAUCUUCAGUAAACUUAGACAAGAGGGAGCUUAUAAGGGUCAGCUCAUAAUCUAUUACCAUUUCGUCAUAGCUACUAGAGCUUUCAUUACCUACUUGAUUGAGCUUCAAUCCAUUGUGUGUUACUACCACCCUUACUUCAAGGAAUCACAAUAGAGAUAGCACUGACCUAAAACAUCAUCCUGAGCAAAGGUGAUAAGUUGAACAUGUCUUUCCCCUUGAGGGUUGUUAUUAAGUUUAAGACCCUUAAAGAAUAUGUGUAUCUCCUGAAUAGUACGCUAUCUAUGUUUGUUAGAGGUCUAUUCUCUGUCUAGGCUCAUUUCUUGGCCUUUCUCUAUCAUCUUUUAUAUAACAAGUGUAAACAUCACUAGGAGGUCGCCUUGCUUCAUUUCACAUGGAUUGUUGCUUUACCUAGGUGAGGAGAAAUUCUCUUGCGAGGGAUGAUUGUCUCUUCGAUUAGCUUGAGAGUUAUUUCACUCAAAGUAUAGAGUUAUGCCUGUACAAUCUAUUGUAUCAUGGCUAUAGGAAUAAUAAAAGUAUAAUAGAGGGGAGCAGCAGGCCUAUUCUUAGGUUCGGUACUUCGACCUCAACCUUUUCCUCUUUUGUGGGCCAGUUACCUUGAUUAUCUUGGUCGUACAUUAUUACUAUGAUCAACAUCUUCGUAAGCUAGUGUUGCACAACGUUCAAGGUGGUCGUGGCAAACGCUUAGCCUAAAGUGGGAGCAAGCAUGUGGCUCACCUGGUUCCGCUGGUGGUUCACCAAAAUUAUAGGUAGGACCUCUUUCUUUUUGUCUUUAUGAGGGUGAGAGCCCUGUGGCGGCUCUGUUGCGAUAAUCAAUCAAUUUAUUGAUGAUCUCACGUUGAAUCAUUUCUACCAAUACAUCAUAACUGGUAGGGUUUUGAUUUUGUAAAUCCUUCUAAAAAUGAGAUAUUCAUGUUAAGAUCUCUCCUUAGGGUUGAAAGGGGCUCUCUUUCAAUGAUCUAUUCACAAUAAGUCUUCUAAUCGAUGAAACGAGCCAAGAAACCUUUUAGCAUCUCACCAACUUGUUGCCUCACAUGUUGAAGACCUUGGAUAGAGACUCUACCUUAUUUGCUAGCUGCAAGGCACCUUUAGAAUGCUUUCUUGAAGUUAGGCCUGCUCCUAAUGGUUCCUUUUCGUAUCCUGCUAUACCAUACUUCAGCAGCUCCACUUAAGGUCAAGUGGAAAGCUCUACAUUUUACCACUGGUGAAGCUCCUCUCAAACUCAUGUAAGUUUUGUAAUUGUUGAAGUGCUUUGCUGGGUCACCUCUCUCCUCGUACUUAGAGAUCUUUGGAUGUACAAAGUAGCUUGGAAAAGGAGUAUCCCUCAAUCCUCUCAAGAAUGGCACAUUAUCAUCAUCAUCUAAAUCACAAGACUUUUAAGGCUCAUCAAAAUCUUUCUUCAACCUUGUACAUGGGAGAAAGCUAAGACUGAAUGGUUUCUCAUGUUCUUUUUAUCUUUUCUUUGAUGCCUAAUCCUAGACGAAAGGGCUUGCAUAGCUUAGUUGUGCAUAUGCUCAUGUGUCCUCGCAACAGAAGGCAGCUAUUGAAGCUCAUUUGUAGCAUUGAAGAUGGCUGGAAUGACCUAUUUCUAGGGUUCCCAUGUUAAUCCUGUUAAAGACUAAUUGAUCUUUGAGGUCUAUGGUUAGGCUCAUAUUUAGGAGAAAAGUUAUCCUCCAUAUUGAAUAGAGCAUUGAUAGGUCAGCCAAAUGCGUAGUUCAACGAAAUGUCCACUCCUACCUCCCUUUCCAAGAGGUUAGCAUCUCUUUCUUGUCAACAAGAUGGAGCGCCCUUUGGCUCUGACCUUCAUCUUCUUCUUGAGGAGAAUGAUCUUUUUAAGGUACAAAAUGGGUUGAUUGUUGACCUACCUGACCUUGCAUUGACAUGAGGAAUUGUUGCAUGAUGGCAUUUUUCAAUUAAUGUUCCUCAUGUUGGCAACAAUAGUGGCCACUUCCCAGGUGAGUGGGUAACAACUUUCAUCCUAUAUCAUAUGUGCUGGUGGUGAGGUCGAUGAUGACCGAUUGGGUUAUAUCUCUGGGAGACCCUUUCUACAUGGGCCUUCCUACCCUUCUAGAUAGGGCUUCUUCACUACUUGAGCUUAGUUUUCCUAGGCAGCUCUUUUCUUCAAAGAGCUGGGGGUCUUAUUAGUGGAUUUCUAUCUCCAAUUAUUCCUUUUUCACGGAAUAUCAAUAAUCCAGGCAUCGUCAAGUUGUUCUUUAUUCAAGAACAAAACAUUUUUGAAAAGGAAAGCCAAGUAAUAUUCCAGCAAGCUUUUUUCAAAGGGUUUACUAGUGUUUUAUAACGUGACUUUUUACAAACGAUGUCAAUUUGUUCACCUCGUUUUUUGUAUCGAUGAUAUGGACAAUAAUCUGGCUCCACUUAUGUCUACGCAAGCUUGCUCUUACACUUGGACUAACCAUUAAUUGCACAUUGUCUUCUCCGAUGGCGAUGAAGACGACCGCGAUUACUCCGACGAUCAAGUAUAUCAGGGAAAUAAUAUAUUUAAGUAUGGGACGUGCUUUAGACUUGAGCUACUUAGGUGUUUGGACACAGAGGAUAUGUAUGCGAGUAUGUACAAUAUGGGAAAGAAUAAUCUUACAAAGCUCUUGGUAAAUAAAAUUGCAUUAUCCUAAAUUUAUACAAUGUGUGAUCUUUUAUAGUGCUUUGGAUAAAGCGCUGGCAGUUAAAUGGAGAAGUACGUGGCUUUAUCCCAAUGGCUGGAACGUCACUUCGCAGGCAUCACGUAGAAAAUCCUAAGGUCUGUGGCAUUCAAUAUUGUCUGAAAAGUAACCGCUCUACAACCUAGGUCUGUGCACUUAGGUAGUAGGCUAACAAGACCUGAUAUUUAUUUGCUGCAGGACAUCACGUCAAUGAUUUUCACCAAAUCUAUGUGCAAAAGAUCUCUUGGGACAUGUAUACGUAGGAGAUGCUCUUCAGUGGCUAUGAGGUAUCUUAUUCAGUAAUGUGGGCUUCGGCCAUGUAUGUUGUGCCUCAGAUAAAGCAGUUAACUACCUCUCUAAGUACUUACAGUAGGAGGCGUCUUUGUUUCGAUUUGAGCUUCCCCUUUUUAGCUGAAGUACCUCCACUUCGUCACUUUUGUCCACGUGGAGUUUGACCCUUUGUUAUGCUUCUUCCUUGAUGCCACAUGAGCUCUUUAUUGAGUCUCGGUAGCGAGGCGUAAUAUUAUGUUUUCCAUCCAAUGGUCAUCAAUAUAUAGAUGGAGACAACAUGUGAAUCAUGAACAUAAUGAAUGCUAAAAAAACACAGUUUUUCACCAAAAUCUUGAAUUAUCGACUGGCCCUAUGCAUAACCAAGAAGUGCAGGUCUUAAGAGCUUGCAAGUCGCAGAUCAAGAACCUAUGGCCUUGGGUCUUGCCUUCCCAAAGUCAAGUCCGUCUUUGUUCUUGAAAUUUUGUUCUACCAUCUUUCCACUUAUUAUUUCUCAUCAUUUUCACUUUAGAAAGCACCCAAGACAUCCUAUUUUACGCUACUAAAUUUUCAAAAAAAUAAUAAUAAUAAUAAAUUUCAACACUUAAUCCACAUUCAAUUAAACAAGCUUACAGACAACUUAUGGUAUUCUUACAAUAAGAGGGAGGUAAACUCUCAAUGUAGAAAAGUAAGUAUAAACAAGGAUUUUUAAAACAUGACCAUAUGGGGGGAGGAGGGGGGGGUGGAAUUGAAGUGUUAAAUUAGAAUAUAACUAGUUUUAGUUCUUGUUUGAGCCACAUUUAUUUUAUAAGAAUACAUUUUUUAAUGGUGUAUUGAUAGAAAAUGUGUGCUUAAAAAAUAAGAAAAAAUUUUAAAUUUGAGUGUAGAAUUAUUUUAUUAAAAAAUGUGUGAUUGAAAUAAUGUCAAAUCACUAUUUAAAGAUGUAUUUUUUCAAAUAAUAUAACUCAAACAUGGAAGUCGUGGUGUGUCAUUUUUCGUUUCAAUUUAAAUUGGUAUCAAUUCCAGUUGGGCUUCUCGGCCCGGACCCCCAGAAAUAAAGUAUAACAGGCCUUUGCAAAUUCGGGUAAAACUUCCCCAGUGUAAUCAAGAUUUUACUCUCUGUUUCUUGCGGAGGAAGAAGAGAAUCGAGUUAGAGAGAACCAGAUAGAUGGAUCCCAAAUUCACAGAGGUGUCCCAAGUAUUCCAGCUAUUCAAAGCAGCGUUUGUACGAAAAGAUUUUGAUACUUGCAUGAAACUUCUCUCUCAGCUCAAGGUACAAUUUUGUUCACUCGAAAUCCUUAUUUUUUUAAUGAUUUUCAAGGUUCGUUGAAAUUGAACACUUUUAUUGUUUCCCCAACUUUAUCAAGAUGAUGUAUGUGUUUUACAGGAUCCAGAAAUAGUCGGGUUUUGUCUUACUAAUGUUAAUAAUACCUGUUCAAUUAAAAUCAAUUGUAAGGAGUAUGUCACGGAGUUAUAUCUGAGGGAUUUUGUAUGGCCUGAUUAAUUUUUCAAUUUUUGCUUUGAACAUUUAAGGUUAGAAUAAUAGAAAUGUGGCAGUGGAAAGUGAUAAGAAUUUUGUGGGGCAAAUGUAGGCUUGUGUUGAUGAAGAUAGUACUAUUUCAUGGCUUUACAAGAAGUUUGGGAAAUUAGACAACAUUUAUUAUGGAAAUGAAUGUUCUAAUGGGAAAAUGGGGUUUCAUGAUUUUCUUGCUUAAUGGCGUAGGAGCAGAUCCAGUCGAUUAUAGUUCUAAAUCAUGAAAGCUUUAAAAAAAUGUGUUUUUAGGUGUAGAAUGUAUUCCUUUGGGUUUAUGAAUCUUCCAAAGUUUCCAUGAGAAACGUUUGGACAAAGUAGUGGUGGUUCAGAAACAGCAAGUUUACUUUUUUCCUUUUUGUUCUAUUGUAAAUGAGAAAAGAAAAAAAGAAAUCAGUAUCAAGCAAUCUAAAUUUUGGGAAACACAUUAGUAUAUUUUUUUCUCAUUUUUCAGAAAGAAGUUACAAAUAUUUCUUCAAAGAAGAAAAUGAGUGAAUUUUUAUGUUAGUUUAAAACAAAGUUUAAAAAGGCGAGAUAAGAUAGGUUAUAAUGUGUACUGAAUUUCCAAAGUUGAUGUAUAGUUGAUUAAUAAAUAAUUAAAAAAAUAGUGAAUUUCAAAAACAUGUUAACCAAUGAAAUUUUUUGGGUUUAGAAAGUGAGGCUAGGUUAUUAGAUAGAGGCGCGCACCUCUUAUAGUUUAAGACAUGGCAUUGAAGCUUAUGUUACAAUCAAUACAUGCGUAAGCCUCAUUGAACCAUUAAACGUUUGCACUUUAGUGCAAAUUCUGAGCGCCUCAAUGUCGCCUUUUUAAACCAUGGUUUGAACUCAAUGAGUUCCAUUUAAUUUUGAAGCAAAGGAGGCUAUAAAGAGGGUAAUAUGGAGAAAUAAAUAGGUUGAGGUGAAUUUUUGUUGGUGUGUUGAGUAUAAAACUGGGCGAUUGAGCAUGGAUUAAUGGUUUUGCAUUAUGCCAGAGAGAGAUACAAGAACAAUCUCAUUGGAAGAAAGAUAUAGAGAAAGAGGAAAUUUUUAUGCAAUUUUUCAUCAAUUUAGGAAAGUUAUGUACAUGGUUUAGAAAGGUGGCAUUGAGGUGCGAACAUUUAACGGGUCUCACAAGGUUUAAGCCUCAAUUGAUUGAGACAUAAGCCUCAUUGCACAUGCCUCAAACAAUGAGAGGCUUGCGCAUCUCUUUAAUGACAUGGGCCCCCACUUUUUAUUUAAAUUACAAAUUGUAUUGGUUCAUUUGCAUUGAAAAUCCACUAAUUUCUUUAAUUAUUUAUAAAUUAACUUUGAAAAUCCAUUGUAUAUUAAACCUACCCUAUUUUUUUAUUGUUUAUUAAUCAACGAUAAAUUAUUAGUCCAAACACAACACACUCUAGAAUUACAAUACAUCAGCGAGACGGCGACAAUGUAGAGCUCUGGGGACAUCACAUUGGCGACGAUAGCAACUAAUAGCAGCACAGUCUUUAACUUAUUAUAUUUUUUUGGAAUUUUAAAGUUUGUUUAUGGUCCAUUACAAGCUUAUUUUUGUAUUUUUAUUAUUAUUAUUAUUUUUUUUUUUGGUGAGUAAGCAUCACCUCACAAAGGAAAAUGCCUUAGUGCACAAUUUCGCCUUUUCUAAACAAUGUUUAUAUAGCAGGUAUUUAGAUAACUUCUAUGGUGCUUGACUAAGAAAAGGAAUAUCUAUUGAGAAUGAUGUGUAAUGGAGCAUUUACGAGUGUAAGAUCUUAUGGGGGAAGUAGUAGGAAUUUUUUUGACAUGAAUCAUUAUUCAAAUGAUUUAGUAGAGCUUCUAAGACAUGUCUCCUUGAUUUGUAUUUUUACCAUUGACAAGACUGGUGCAAGGCUUUAUAAGUUCAAAAAUAAGAGUAGGAUUUUGUAAUGGAGGCUUAGGUUAAAGACUAAGGUUUCCAGCAUUGAAUGAUAAUUUAACCAGAAUAGGAAUAGGAAAAAGUAGAAGCAAAAUUGUGUCUUCUGUUUCAAAUAGCAAUUCUUUUGGAUGAUUAGGUUUGUUUAUUACUAAAGAAAGAUGAAUUGAAUAGGAUCUGAUGUACUGUGUACCGGACAAAUGCAGAUUAGACAAAGUGAAGAAAAUUCAAUUUGAUUGAAUAUAUUUUCUAACUACAAGUUAAAAGACAAGGUCUAUAGUAUGACCAUUUGACCAACUAUGAUUUCAGGGUUGACUUAUGGUCAUUAAAGGACAAAGUAUUCAUAAGGUAAAUAUACUGGAGAUGAGGUCGUUAAGAUGAACUUUUGGCUGCAAAGAAUAGUAAUAUAGGAAUCCAGAGAAUUGUGCCAACAAGUGAAGGUGGCUGCUAUUAGGAUAAAUUAAGGGAAGGCUGAUUACAUUAUUUAAUCUACAAGUGUAACCCAAACGGCCUAUAUUUUCUUUUCAUUGUUUACAUAUAUAUUUUUUAUUUCUAUUUAUUUUUAAUUGGAUCUUUCAGAUCAAAUUGAGUUGCGAAUAACAACUUGAGUAGACAAGUUUAAUUUUGUUAGGAAUGAUGAAGCUUAGUUUUUAGUUGUUGCUACAUAGCCACCCCAUUUUUAUUGAGAAUAAAGCCUAACUGAGCUUUGUUUAUCAUGUUUACUUUUACUUUGUGCUGCAUUCGAAUGCAUUUUAUGAUCUUUGUCGGUAGUAUAUAGUGCAAGUUAUGCUAUAUUUCAUGUUGCAGGUUACAUUGACAGAAUUUAAGAGUUUACCUCCGUUAUUUGAAGAAACACCAAAUGCCAUUCAGGAACGGACACUUGCUAGUAAUAAUAACCUCCUACUCUAUCUGAUAUCUCUUGUGGCAAUCUUUAUUACAUUUUUUGAAUUUUCUUUUUUUAGUAGUAAUAUCUGUAAUCUGAUAAAUUACAGGGGACAUAUAUGAGCAUGCAGUCUUUCUAAGUGUAAAGAUUGAGGAUCAGGAUGCUUUGGAGAGGGAUUUUUUCCAACUGAAACCUUAUUAUACAGAUACCCAGUAAUUAUCUUUCUUUAAUUGGUCAUAUUGAUUCUCCAUAACAUAUUUAGAUAUGUGAUUUGUUAUGUGGAUUUUUAAAUGUAAAUUUUGGAAAGUUCUUACGAUGUCAGUUUUGGUGCAGUAUACUUUUGUUUAAAGACAAAUCUUAUGAUCUUCCUUUCACUUGAUUGAGCAGUGGUCUACAACCAUCCACUCAGGAGCAUCCGAUAUUAGGUCUCAACCUUCUGAGACUCCUCGUGCAAAACAGAAUUGCUGAAUUUCACACUGAGUUGGAAUUGCUUCCUUCCAGUGCUUUAGAGAACCCUUGUAUCAAGCAUGCAAUUGAAUUGGAACAAUCCUUCAUGGAAGGAGCUUAUAACCGUGUGUUGGGUGCUAGACAGACUGUACCUCAUGAGAUAUAUGUUCAUUUCAUGGACUUGCUGGCGAAGACAGUCAGGUCAAAAUAUAUACAGUACCAUAUCACACUACUUCAUGUAUUAUUUUCUUGGUAGAUGGAAUUGAUUUGACACCAUCAUAUAUCAAACUCAUCUUUUUUAUAUUUAGCCUCCAUAAGGGAGGAAUCUAUAACGGUUAAUUUACAAAUAGAUAGAAAUAAGUAGUCAAUAAGUAAAUAGUACUUGUAGGUUCAUUCUAAAUUGUAAUAUAAGGUUGAAAAAUGAAGUUUUACCAUUUAUAAAUCAUUUAAAAAGUUUGCCAAAUGAAGGCUUAUUUUUUUUCUUGGAAAGAGGUGGAGAAGAGUUGUUAGGGGCUUCUUAAGUCGUUGAUACUAAACAUAGAACAUGGAUAACAUCUUAUUAUGGACACUGGUUCUGUCCAUUGUUGUUUCUUGUUUAAGUCAUAAAUGACCACUAAUAACCUCAAUGGUUUUGUGCAUAAAGUCAACUUAUACCAGCCUUACUUGCAUUAGAGAUAUUUGCUUGUGGAUUGUUCAUGUUGAUAUCUGGUUUAUUUUAACAUGUGAGUAGGUUUUUGGCACGUGAUAGUUUGUUUGUUAUCUUAGGGAUGAGAUUGCUGGAUGCAGUGAAAAGGCUUAUGACAGUCUUUCAAUAAACGAUGCUCGACAAAUGCUGCUGUUUUCUUCUGACCAAGACUUGGUUAAAUAUAUUGAGGAGGUAAGCUUCCUUGCACCUCAUACCUUCCAUAACCUUACUGAUUCCCUCACUAUCCUUUGCUUGUCAAUGGAAUUAUGUUUGGUAAAGCUUUUUGUAGAUUAUAAGCAGUGGAUCUUAUGAAAUUUGUGGAUAAAAGUUGUGGGUCCUAGGAUUGUGUGAAUAAAAAUGAUUUUUAACCUGCUUAUUAUAAGCUUGAAAAAGCUUUAAAAAACAUAUAAAUAAGGGUAUUAACUUUCAUCUUUGGUUCGGAGCUCUUGUCGCACCUUCAUCUUGUGGCUAUGAAGGAAGCAAUAGUGCUAAUUAUAAACUAUUGCAAUUGCAGGAACAUCCGGAGUGGGAGAUAAGAAAAGGUUUUGUGUUCUUCCAAAGAGCUAAAGAAUCUGCACCUUGCAAGGAGAUUCCUUCUCUGCAGCUGAUCAACCAGACACUCAGUUAUGCAAGGGAGUUGGAACGGAUUGUGUGACGAGUAGCUUCCCCCAUCUUAUCCGUGCUUCUGUUUUUUGUAUUUUCGAAUUUUUGAUGCUAAAAACUGCUCUUUCGCAUGGAAUAUUUUCAUUCUGAUUUGGAAAAAAAUAUUGGGGAUGAAAAAUAGAAUGUUGGCGGAGUUUCUUUUCAGAUGUUUAGUAUUUUUAACCAAUCAGACAGAUUUGCAUUUUGCUUUGGUUAUUCAUGUUUGUUGUUGAUGCCAAUACGUUUACUGUUUUUGGUUGUGUUCCAGAGAGUAGAAUCUACUUCUAAAGUUUCUUAUUUCCAAAAUUUACGUUUUCUUGAAGUAAAAAAGUAAAUCCUAAUUUAACUUUACCUCAAUAGAUACUCAAGUAUAAUAUGGCGAACAGUGUAAUGUUUCCAUAAACCUCAGAUUAGAAACCGGUCCCCGUUUUCUUUAAAAGAAUAUCAUGGCAAAAAGAUUUGAGUGUUUUGUUUUUUCUUUUUUCUUUUUUAUCAAAGCUUAAUGGAGAAUUUGUACUGCAUCAAAUACAGAAUUUAUGUAUUAUCAUGGAUGUGUGUUGUCAAGUUUUCAUGUUACAGCUGGACUAACGACAUCAAAAACUACAACAGUCUGCGAAUGGUUAAUGGCUUCAAGUUAGGUCUUCAUCUUCAGACACGACUCAAAUCAAUGUAGUAAAAUCAGCUUUGCGCCUUAACGUCGUGAUUUAUUUCAUUAUCCCAUACAGCGUGAAAUUUGAACAAACAAAAAUGAAGGUUUAGAUAACCAACCAUACGAUGUCAGCAGUGAGUUUAAAGAGCGGCAUCUAUAAUCUGAUGGAAUAAGAGUCUUGAUUUGACGUGUUUUUCUGCGUUGUGCAAUGUCACUUCUGAUGCUAUUAUACGAAAAAUUCGUUCAAAUUCCAAGAUCAAAACUUGGGAAAUCAUCCAUUUCAGUCGUAUUGAAAUCCUGCUUGGACUGUACAAUAUCAGAGAUAUCAUCUGCAAUACGACCAUUUGAAGCAACAGUACCAACUUGGGAAGCUCCUUCGCAGCAUCUAGCAGCAGUUACUUGGUUAUCUUCACAUAGCUACACCAAUGAGAAAGUAGUAUUAAGAGGAGACAUUUCGCUUUUACUUUCUUACAGCAUCAACUAUUAAAGUCGUAUUGCUUGUCAAAAACCAAGAAGAAAACUGCUAAAAUCAAGUAGUACUAUAUUCAGACCUGUUGAGAGUUUCAAGAAAUUACCGUGGGUUGUUGACUGGAGCAGAGACCAGGUGUUGCUGAAGGAAAAAUUUUAGUUGUAUUCUCUGACGGGUAUAAUAUAAUUGAAAGCUAUGUAAUAAAAAAUCAGAAGUUGGCAGUGUAUAUAACAAAGGUAAAACUUGCCUUCUUGCGAAAUUACUUGAGGAUGGCUUUCAAUUUCCAAAUUUUUAUUUGAUGUGCUGGGUGGCAUUGAUCCCGUUGGUAUUUGGCCCUCAAUAUCCAACGCCAAAGCAACCAAUUCCUGAGACUCCACGGCUGAAGAAACUGAUGUCGACUCAAUGAAAUCAGUGCCUUCUAAACUAAGGAUGGAAGUUAAAUGGUUUGUUGUUUCUGACCUGCCAUAGAUUGAGGGGGAAAAAGGGGGAAGCCGAUACAUGCUUAGCAGUGUGUACUAUUCUCAUCAGCACAUGUGGGACAAAAAUCUAAUUACCAGUCUUGGCAACCAAUACCACCACUGAAUUUGGGGAAUUUUGAAAGGUCUGGAACUGGCGUGGAAUUCGCCAAAAUUGAACACUCAUAAUACUGGACCAAUGUUUCUAGAAAGCCCAGGACUAAUUCUGAUUCCAUUAAAAAUGAAAAUGACUUGUUUGAGGUAAGGGAGGUUCGGUUAUAUGAGAACGCAGAAACCUGUUUUGCACAUCAGGGGCACAAGGAUGUUUACUUUUUAAGACUGCAGACUACGUGAAUUCUGCCACAACCAUUUUAGAGGAUGUUUACAAUCAAAUGAUGUAGUGGUGCCUAAUAAAGCACAGCUGACAUAAGAGAAUCUUGAAAUAAAAAUAUUUGCUGCACUUAAAAAUAUAAUUUCGGAGUGUCAAGCCUAAGACAAUUUUAUUCUAGCAGUCUCUUAUUUAGGAAUGCAUACCUGAGAUAGGACCUGGCUGUCCUAGUUUGAGAUUCUCCUCUUUUGUCAUGAUCUUCCACUUUUUCAGCACCAAUGGGAAGGACUUCAUUAACAGCUUCAGAUUUAAAAUUUUCAGCGCUACAAUCAUGAACUAAGAUUGUUUUUCUGUUCAAUUCCUUUAGCACGCUUCCAUUGCAUCCGCAUGCUUGUUCUUGUAAUUGGUCCUUGAUAUUAGAAUGAACGACAACUGAAGAUUUUGACUCAUCGAUCUCCUCCACCAAUGCUCUUUUCACUGCAACAAUAUUCUCCUCAGACGUGGAUUUCCGGAGAUUGGACAAGAUUUCAUGGGCUGCCAUUAUAAAGAUAAAACAAAAUAUUUGAUCAGUCGCAGAACUGAGUAAGAGGUAUACAAGAAAAACUGCUAUAAAUGGCCUAAAAUGAAAUUAAGCAUCAAUAGUUGGAAAUAAUAGACAGUGCAUGAGCAAUCAUUUAUUUAUAUGAUCACUGAUAACACAAAUAGGUACCUGCAGAAGACCUUUUUUUUUUUUCUAAUCCAUCUACACAUCAAGCAAGAUGCCAAAGCGGAUGACACAGUUAAUGCCAUGAAAGAUUAUAUAAGGGAUGGCUUUAGACACUUAAUGGUGAAGAGCAUUCAUUCUUUUCUCGAGUGAUUAGCUGAACACAAAAUGAACCAAGUGAUACAUGUUGCAAAAAAAUUAGUUGCAUGUACAUUAGAUAAACUAUUUGCUCAAGUUGACACUUCGCUUAGUUGCCUGUACGAGGGACUCAAAUAACUCCACUGUUGUAAUUUAUGGAAACUUAUAUACUAGAGCAAUGUGGAUACACACAGACUUGGCAGGACUCCAAAAACCGCAAGAUCAACUAAUAUACGAUGCAACAACAUAUUAUUCAGUCAUCUUAAGAUACAAAACCUAGAGGCUAAGUUUUGAAUUCGCAAUUGCUGAUAAGUAACAGUUUAAGUACCCAUCACUCAAUCUGCAAUGCACGUCUUUUGCAACUCACUUUCUCAAGAACUGACACAUUGCAUUGUUCUCAGACCUAAAUCGAAAAUAUUCAAGGGAGGAGCCUUCCCACUUGUCAAUAUUAGUUUCUGAAGUGCUAACAUCUCCAUUGUCACACUACAAAUUCAGUCCUCGUGAUAGACAAUGAAAUCCCUUGACCUCAUUCCAAAAUUUGGAAUCUAAAUCUUCUGAGAAUUCUAGUUGAUCUGCAUUCUCAUAAUUAAAUGUGUUUAUUUAGAGUUAAUUUAGAAAGUUCUCAAUGAUUUUUUGGGCAGGUAGCUAAUUAAUGUAGUAAAAUCAGGUCCAGCUUACGUGCAUAUUAAUAUCAUAUCAUAUCAUGGAGUGAUCCACAUAUACUCUACGCUUGAAAUAGAAACAGCUACAUCAACCUUGGUCUACGGUGUGCUUAUAAAAUGAGACCAAAAUACUGAUUCAAAUGGGAGAAAAUAUCAAAUAAGCAUGGAACCAAUGUUUGGAGUCAAGACUAAUAUAAUAAUUAGAAUAAACACAAAAAAUAAAUUUCAUAGAGAAAACAACAAAAAGGUUUCCUCUCAGAACCUUUAUAUUUUCUCUGGAAAAAACGAUUGGACCCAUAUGGAAAAUACAUUCGUAUCAUAAUGUUUCAGAUAACAUCCUACCAGCACGUCUUGGCUUAUUUGCAGAGACUGUCCAACUUAAUUUUGCAUCAUCAAUCUUGGAGUUUCUAUCAUUUAAGACCAUGCAUUUCCCUGGAAAAAUCUUGUUAUGAGGUCUCCCUAUGCAUUCAACGCAAGGCAUGCAGAAUAAACAGGAUAUCAACAAAAAUAUCGAAUAAAACAAUUCAAAAUACUGAGAAAGAAUUCUGAACAUUCAGGUUCUAAUUGGUCCGUAACAGCACUUGAGUAUAGAAGAUUUUAAAUUUUAAUUGGAUCUGUGUAACGAUUUUAUUAGAAUUGCUUCUUGCAACAAUUGGGAGAACUGUCAACAGAAUAUAUUGCUGAGACUGAGACAAAGUGCCGAGUAUCAUUAAUUACCUAUAUUCUGUGAUAUUCACAUGCAAGGACAGAAAGAAAGAAGCAUGGGCUUGGUAAAAUAAAAAACUAAAAAUUCAGGGACUUUUAAGUUACAUGCUAAAUAUUGUUUACUAUUAGAGAUAACAGAUUCAAAUUCAUUAUGUAAGACGAACAAAAACCUUUAAGCCUCCUUUUGGGAAGAAUUUAUAAAUAGAUAGAAAUGAGUGGUAAAUAAUUGUGGGUCCACUGGAAUGUGUGGUUGAAAAGAAAAUUUGACCAUUUAUAAAUGAUGUAUGAAUUUUUCCAAACAGGGGCUAAAUCAUGAGACAUAGUAAUACCAGAAUUUCAACUAUCAUCAGAAGCUAUCAUUCCUCAGAGAAAUAUCUAGUUCAAAAGUUGAUUUGUUCGAGAUUUAAUGUAAAUUUAAGGCAGUGAUUACAAAUUGCCAUCUGCUAAAACUUUGAUUAACUGUUGAUAUGCAUAGAUCAGCAAUCAGCAUGGAUCAAAAGAUUCAAAACUCAAAUGCAGGUAUCAUGGAUGGAGAAAACGAGUGUGGAGAAGGAUGAUAGCAGCUUCACAUAUUAUAUGGGGUAAUAUGAAAGUAAAUUCUCUUGGUGAUUAGACGAAUAUGGAUGUGUUUUCUGUACGUCCUGGAAAGAAAUGGAAUCUGGUAUUAUUGAAAAUCUAAAAAGGAUAGAAGUAACAAGUGUAAACAUCUAACAUGUCCAAGAAAAGAUAUCUUAUGGAUGCAGAAGGGUGAUAAGAUGCAAUCCUUUAAUAAAGGACCCAAGGAUACAUGUGUAACCAAAUAUUAAAUAAUUUUCUAAAUUAAACUAAACUGGAACCCGAAACAAUAUUGAAGGGAAAAAAAAAUCCUACUAUAUAAAUAGCAGAAGGAAAAUAACAUGCUUCAUAAAAAUGAAGAUAAAUUAGCAAAAGGGUAGAUGUACCAGCAUGAAAUUUCCCAUUGGUAGGGUUUGCUUUGUUAUAAGUUGUCUCAGUUUUAACAACAGCGUUGCAAUUUAUUCCUUGAAGAGCCAUGUCCUUUGUCGGCUUAUUGUCUUUUUGAAGCUCUCCAAUGUCUACUAAAUGACAGUCAAAUACUAAUAAUUCACCAGAACUGACUAUUUCAUCCCUCUUCAGAAACCUGUUAUCCAAAAGUCUCCUGGUUGUGUCAUACAGCAUGACCUGAAUAUGACGAGCAACAGUGCGCAUUGAGUGCAUGACAAUGAUGUAAAGAUGAUAAUAUCUCCAAUGUGUUAAUUACAAUAAUCACUAAACUAAAUGACAGGUUGAUAGCUUGACCAAGUUUAAAAAUAAAUAUGCUGAGAGUCUGAUAUAAAACUUGAAACAUUUACAUUAAGAUCUGUACAUCUCAUUGGCAUUAGAGCUGACAAUCCAGAAGGCCAGGAUCUUUAGGUAUCAGAACUAUACUAAAUGAAACUUGGAAACUUAAUCGUUAGGUGAAAAAAGAAGAGCAGGAAAAGGGAGGGGAAACUCAAUUGGCAGUGAGUUUUAAAAUGAGAUCAGGUUGCAGAAGUUCUAUAUUUCUUCAAUCUCAAAUCCACAUUUGGCUGAAAGAGUUCAACUAAAAACAGUUAAAAUCAUUCUGAUUCAAAGACUACAUAAAGCACUAGCAACAGAGCAGAAGUAAGAUUCUCAAGUGUUAUAAUUUCUUUUUUACUUUUCCAUGUUUCUAACUAUUUAAAUGAGAUCAAACAGCACCAUCAUCACGUAACUUGGUAUAUAUUCUGGAUGUCUACCCCGUCAACUAUUUUGUGCACUGUCUGUCUCUCUCCCAACUCCAAUCCCUCCCCCUCUUGAGACUGAAAUGUCACCUUCCUUUGACUUGAUACAGCUCAAAAGGAGCAAAAAUUCAUAACAUAAUCUCAGCUCCAUAUGUAAUGUUUCAUAAAAAUUCUCAAAAAGCUCAUCUUACAUGUACUUGCUGAUGUGCAAAUUGAAACCUGUGUACAAAAAGUAGUGUAACACAGAAGAUGCUCCCUGAUGUUUCUAAAGUGUUCUUGCUUCCUAUUUCACUCGUCUUCCCUUUAGUUCUUUGUUUCCCCAUUUCUUGAUCUUUCUUGUUUUCCAACAUGAUGGGAAAGACUAAAGAUCUCUAAGGUAGUGUUUCUCCAUUUCCAUGCUAAUAUAAUCAACCGACUACAACACCUAUAUAUAUAAGUUCGGUGGAUGUGUUUUGUGAGAGAGAGAGAGAGAGAGAGAGAGAGAGCAAGGCUGGUGUCUUGUGUAUAUCUUGUGAACAUUUCUAUAUAACCCCAAGAAAACCAGGAGUUUUUGGUAUCAAACCUGUACUAAAAUGAUAUUUUCUUCAACUUAAUUUUCAGAGGAAAAGAAGAACAAGAAAAGGAAAGGAACUUCAUUAGCAUUGUGCUUUAAAAUGGAAAUUGGUUGCAGAGACUAAAUUACUUUGAUGUCAACUUCCAACAUUGGUUGGAAGUAUUCAUCGAAAGACAGUUAAAUCAUUCUGAUGUAGAGACUAUAUGUCGCAGCAAGCUUCUCAAGUAUUAAAUUCUUUCUAUUCCCGUCUAACUGUUACAACGUCAAUAUUUAGAGCUUGUUUAGUAUAGCUCAAAAAUCAAUUAAAAUCAAUUUUUUUACCGUUAUUCCACUAUUAUAACCGUCAUUUUUGAAUUAUUCUCUCACAGGUAGAAUCCACUUUAUCUGUAACGGUCAGAAAAUCAAUUAUCAAAAUCCCUACCAAACAAGCACUUAAUUGAGAUCAAGAAGCACAUCUUCAUAUAACAUCGUAUUUCUCCUGGCUUUCUACCCCUUCAACUAUUUUAGGCAUCAUAUUAUUGAAAUCUGUCUGUCUCCCAAAUCCAAUCUCUUCCCCUCUUAAAACUGAAAUCCAAUCGCUUGAAAGGAAAACAAAUCUUCGCCCCAUCCUGAAGGUGUCAGAAAAAAGCUUCGAAAAGCUUAUCUUACCUGUUGAAUGAUGUGUGAUAUUGAAAUCUGUUUACAAUCAAAGUUGACUCUUAACUCACAAGAUCACAGAUCACCUUCCUUUUGGAAUUCCUCAUACCAUAUUGUUACAUAUGAGGACUAGAUUCAAUGAACUGUUCCCAAAUUAUAUAGCAUUCCCAAGGGUAUCCAUGCAUAUCACUUCAAAUCCAAGUGGCCCCACAAACUAUUGUGAAGUCGUGAUUCUCAAACAGCAUAUCCAUAAGUGAAAAAACGUUUUCUACUCUUUACACUCCAUGGACAGAUGGCAUUCGGUUAUUGGAUAAAAUAAUGUCACUAGAGUUGUGGUUUUUCUCUUAUCAUUUAUGGACCAUUGAUCCACAUCUAUGGUUGAGAUUUAGUCUCAUAUAAUUAAUGCAAAGGGAGACUUUAAGGGUUGGUGAGAAGAAGUCAGCCGGCACUUUUUCUUUUCAUUUGGCAGAAAUUGUCCCUUCAAGUUUCUCUCUCUCUCUCUCGUUCCUUCAUGUUUCUGCUUCUUCUUUUCUCUUUUGAAUUGAAGAACCAGUGAAGAUUAUUGUAAUAAUCUUGUUGUUAUCUGAUGAUGAUAGAACUAUGGUACAGAGUUUUAGGCCUUGAUUGUGGCUGGGAAAUCUGUAGUGUGUUCUUGGGAAGGUUUUGUCUAGUCUUGUGGCUAGGUUUUCGAGUUAUUGAGAGAUCCUUGUGGAUCGAUGAUCAUAUAGUGGGUAUGAUGUGAUUUCUUCAACUGGUUGUACACUCUCUUGAAGGUUUCUUGCUAGUGACGGGCUUACCUCUGAGCCCCCCAGAUUAGGCCAUUUCAGGCUGAACUGGGUGAAAAUUUCUGUGUUCGAUUUUCUGUUCCUGCUUUAUUUUACUGUUUUACGAUUGUUUGUUGGUGUUGGGUCGAUAAUCCUAACAAAUCUGGUAUCAGAGCUCGGUUUUCGAGGCAUCUGCGUGACAUACCUUGCCCUGAGGAUAUUUUAGUGGGUUGAGAAAAAGGUUAAACGGUCGAACAUAUUUUUUUUUCGGAUCAGCAGAUUUUUUUUUCGGAUAUUUCUUGAGAUUUUAAUUUCUGUCCAGAUCUUAAAGAUCUGCACAGAUAUUUAGGAAACUAAUUUUUCUAUUUAAGUGCGAAGGUUAAGAACAAAAAUUAGUCAGCCCCUGACCGGCUCCAUUUUUGGCAAGUGAUAGGGUGAUCUCUGAAACUCUUGUGAUUGCACUGUUGUUCAACGGUGCUGUGGGUGAGAUCUAAAUAAUAAAAGAGCCCGUAUAAUUUUGGUGCACAAAAUUGCAUGUUUAUUGCUCUGUGGAUUAAUUACUGAAAUUGUACAUUGUGCAUUGAUAAUUGAUCUGACAAUAGGAGCAUGUUUUAGGAAUUAUACAAAGUUCUUUAUAUUUGUUGAGUAAUUCCUUGUAUUCCAACACAUUGAUUGCUUGUGUACAUUGUUUUCAGUUAUGCAAGUUAGGAUAAUUGUUUUUCAUUCUGUAAUCUGCAUUCCUUAAAUCAGUUAGGAAGUUUCUUGGUUUUGUUUUUUGUAAUCAUAUAUUGAGGUGUCUGUUAUGGCUUCCAGUAGUAGCCACCCCUUUUCAGAACCUAUGAUGGGUUCGAAAGUCGAACUAUCACAAUUCGAUGGAAAGGGGGAUUACUCGAUUUGGAAGCAAAAAAUGAGGGCCAUAUUGGUCCAACAGAGGGUUGCUAAAGCCCUGGACGACCCUGACAAAUAUUCUGAUGAACUUAAAGCCAGACCAGAUGAGAUUCUUGAAAUGAAUGAAAUAACUUAUAGUUCGAUUAUCCUGCACUUAUCUGAUAAUAUUGUAAGACAAGUAGAAGAAUCCAAAACUGCUAGAGAUCUUUGGACAGCCUUAGAUAACUUGUUCUUAACCAAGACUUUACCAAAUAAAAUUUAUCUCCUGGAAAAACUGUUUAGCUUUAAAAUGGAUGAUCGAAAAGACCUGGAAACCAAUUUGAGUGAUUUUAGCAUACUGGUGAAGAGUCUUGCUCAUAAUGAUAAAAAAUUUGAAGAUGAGGAUCUUGCAGUAAUCCUUCUAAACUCUUUACCUGAUUCUCUUAAGGAUAUCAAAAAUGCUAUAAAAUACUCAAGAGAUGCAUUAACACAAUCAAUCGUGACAAAUGCCCUAAGAUCUAGGGAACUGGAAGUCAAGAAAGAAUCUAAACUAAACUCAAGAGAAGAGAGUUUAUUUGUGAGAGGAAGACAAGAAAAGAGGGAAAGUAAUUCCCAGAACAAAAGAUUCAAGUCCAAAUCCAGAACCAGAUCUAAAUCAAGAGACAAAAGCAAUAAAAAAUGCUAUCACUGUGGGAAACUUGGACAUUUUAAAAGAGACUGUUAUGAGCUAAAGAAGAAGCUAAAAGAAUCCAGCAACAUUGAGUUAAAUAAUGCUGCUGUGAGUUCUGAACUUGACAGUCUUCUUGUAAUGACUGUGACAAAUGAAGAAACAGAUACUAAUUGGAUUCUGUAUGUACAUUUCAUAUGUGCCCAAACAAAUCUUGGUUUCAUAACUACAAGGAGAUAGAACACAGAAAAGUAUAUAUGGGUGAUAACAAUUCACAAAAUGUAUUGGGAAUUGGGGACAUUUCAAUCAAAAUGUAUGAUGGAAGUGUUAGACUGAUUAAAAAUGUGAGAUAUGUCCUAAAGCUAAAAAGAAACCUCAUUUCAUUGGGGAUUCUUGAAGAUGAGGGACAUACAUUUAAAUCUGAAAAUAACACUUUGAAAAUCUUGAAAGGAUCUCUUGUAGUCAUGAAAGGGCCUAAAAGGAAUGGGCUAUAUUACUUAAUGGGAAAAGCUGUUAAUUCCCAGGACUCAAAUUCUUUAACUAUAACUGAGUGCAAAUCUGAAUUGUGGCAUUGUAGAAUGGGUCAUAUUGGAAAUAAGGGCUUAAAGUAUCUUAAUGACCAGAAAUUGUUUGGGAAAGAUAAAGUCGAACCCCUUAACUUUUGUGAAACAUGUGUGUUAGGGAAGUCUCAUAGAGUGAGUUUUGAGACUGGGUCACACACAACAAAUAGACCUUUGGACUAUGUCCAUGCGGAUUUAUGGGGGCCAGAAAAUCACCCAACCUCUGGUGGAAAUAAAUGUUUUUUUUCUAUAAUUGAUGAUUAUUCUAGAAAGGUCUGGACCUACCCUUUGAAAUCCAAAAAUGAAACUUUUCAAAAAUUCAGAUUGUGGUUAAAGAUGGUUGAGAACCAAUUGGACAAGAAAUUAAAAACCUUAAGGACAGAUAAUGGGUUGGAAUUUUGCAAUGCUGAAUUUGAUAAUUUUUGCAAGCAAAAAGGAAUUAUUAGACAUAGAACUGUUAAGCAUACUCCCCAACAAAAUGGGGUUGCUGAGAGAAUGAAUAAAACCCUUAUGAAUAAGGUAAGAUGUAUGCAGAUCAGUUCUGGGCUUGCAAAAGGAUUUUGGGCAGAGGCUUUAUGCACUGCUGCCUACCUCAUAAAUAGGUCCCCUUGUAGUUCUGUAGAAUUUAAAACUCCACAGGAACUAUGGACUGGAAAACCACCAAAUCUGUCACACUUAAGAGUUUUUGGUUGUGCUGCAUAUGCACAUCAAGUUGAGGGAAAAUUAGACCCGAGGGCUACCAAGUGUGUUAUGCUUGGAUACCCUGAAGGGGUUAAAGGGUACAGGUUAUGGGUACUUGGUAUUAAAUGAAUAAAAAUCAUUAAUAGCAGAAAUGUGGUGUUUAAUGAAACUGAGAUGCCAUGUUUGAAGAGUAAUAUGGAUAAAUCAGAUCUGGCUGAAAAGGGUACUUCCCAAAGUGAGGUGAAGUUGGCAAAAUUAAAUAACAGCAGAUCUGAUGUAACUGAAUCAGAACCUGUACAGGUCAUUGAAAGUAUAGAAAAUACUGAUGAAGGUGAAGUUGAUCCACCCCAAACUGGAACUGAAACAGAAUCUGAAACAAUGGCAUCUAACUACCCAGAAAAUGAACCUAGUACCAAAGAUUAUCAAUUGGUUAGAGAUAGGGACAGGAGACAGAUUAAACCUAACCUUAGGUAUGAAAUGAAUAAUCUGACCGAAUUUGCCUUCAUCUCUGGUGAAAACUUAGAACAUUCUGAACCCUUUUCUUAUGAAGAAGCAAUGAAUAGUUCUAAGUCAAAAGAAUGGAAAGAAGCAAUGAAAGAAAAAAUGAAAUCCCUUCUUGAAAAUAAAACCUGGAAACUUGUAAAGAAGCCAAAGAACCAAAGAGUGGUUCAGUGUAAGUGGAUCUUUAAGUUGAAGGAAGGUAUUUCUGAAUCUGAUCCUUUGAGGUAUAAGGCAAGGCUUGUAGCUAAAGGGUUCACUCAAAGGGAGGGAGUUGAUUACAAUGAAAUUUUUUCACCUGUAAUCAAAUAUAAAACCAUAAGACUCAUUUUGGCUCUAGUUGUUCAAUUUGAUUGGGAAUUAGAACAAUUAGAUGUGAAAACUGCCUUUUUACAUGGGGAAUUGGAAGAGGACAUUUAUAUGUGUCAACCUCAAGGUUUCGAAGAAAGGGGAAAAUCUGAUUUUGUUUGUAAAUUGCAAAAAUCACUGUAUGGACUGAAACAAAGUCCAAGACAGUGGUAUAUAAGGUUUGACACAUAUGUUUUGAAAAUUGGUUUUAGAAGGAGUAAAUAUGAU